rnacentral:ncRNA from 1 species
UGGCUCUGGAGAAGCUCAAUCAUUGAGUACCGAAGGUGCAAGGCAGUAUAACCGCUGAAUCUCUCAGGUAAAAGGACAGAGAAA